rnacentral:rRNA from 1 species
AUUGAACGCUGGCGGCAUGCUUUACACAUGCAAGUCGAACGGUAACAGGCCGCAAGGUGCUGACGAGUGGCGAACGGGUGAGUAAUGCAUCGGAACGUGCCCAGUCGUGGGGGAUAACGCAGCGAAAGCUGCGCUAAUACCGCAUACGAUCUAUGGAUGAAAGCGGGGGACCGUAAGGCCUCGCGCGAUUGGAGCGGCCGAUGUCAGAUUAGGUAGUUGGUGGGGUAAAGGCUCACCAAGCCGACAAUCUGUAGCUGGUCUGAGAGGACGACCAGCCACACUGGGACUGAGACACGGCCCAGACUCCUACGGGAGGCAGCAGUGGGGAAUUUUGGACAAUGGGCGCAAGCCUGAUCCAGCAAUGCCGCGUGCAGGAAGAAGGCCUUCGGGUUGUAAACUGCUUUUGUACGGAACGAAAAGGCUCUGGUUAAUACCUGGGGCUCAUGACGGUACCGUAAGAAUAAGCACCGGCUAACUACGUGCCAGCCGCCGCAGUAACAC